rnacentral:misc_RNA from 1 species
GAAAUGCGAUAAGUAGUGUGAAUUGCAGAAUUCAGUGAAUCAUCGAAUCUUUGAACGCACAUUGCGCCCUUUGGUAUUCCAAAGGUCAUGCCUGUUCGAGCGUCAUUUGUACCCUCAAGCUUUGCUUGGUGUUGGGCGUCUUGUCUCUAGCUUUGCUGGAGACUCGCCUUAAAGUAAUUGGCAGCCGGCCUACUGGUUUCGGAGCGCAGCACAAGUCGCACUCUCUAUCAGCAAAGGUCUAGCAUCCAUUAAGCCUUUUUUCAACUUUUGACCUCGGAUCAGGUAGGGAUACCCGCUGAACUUAAGC